rnacentral:tRNA from 1 species
GCCCGGGUGGUGGAAUUGGUAGACACGAGGGACUUAAACUCCCUUGCCCUCAAAAGCGUGCGGGUUCAAGUCCCGCCCCGGGCACAA